rnacentral:rRNA from 1 species
GAUGAACGCUGGCGGCGUGCCUAACACAUGCAAGUCGAACGGAGUCCAGCCUUUAAGACCUUCGGGUCAAAGAGGGGAAGACUGAGUGGCGGACGGGUGAGUGACACGUGGGCAACCUGGCUCAUAGAGGGGGAUAACAGAGAGAAAUUUCUGCUAAUACCGCAUAAGCACACACUGCCGCAUGGCAGAGGGUGAAAAGAGAAUCGCUAUGAGAUGGACCCGCGUCUGAUUAGCCAGUUGGCAGGGUAAGAGCCUACCAAAGCGACGAUCAGUAGCCGAUCUGAGAGGAUGAACGGCCACAUUGGGACUGAGACACGGCCCAAACUCCUACGGGAGGCAGCAGUGGGGGAUAUUGCACAAUGGGGGGAACCCUGAUGCAGCGACGCCGCGUGAGUGAAGAAGUAUUUCGGUAUGUAAAGCUCUAUCAGCAGGGAAGAUAAUGACAGUACCUGAAUAAGAAGCCCCGGCUAACUACGUG